CGUGAUCUGCCCGGGCGCAGAUGUGGGCACCGGUCCGAGUGCCCGCCCUCUGUCCCCGCGGCUGGGUCCCGUCUGCUCCAGUUCCUGGGCUCCUAAUUCUUGGUCCAGCUUCUUCCAGGUCAGUGUGCGGGCCUUCCACGCUGCCAGCGGAAUACUGGAAUGGCGGAAGGGGAACGGGUCUGCGCGUCUGUUGUUCCCAGCGCUCUGCAAAGCCUGAAAAGGAGGAGCAACCUGUCCAGAAUCCUCGCAGGAAAAGGAGGGGAAAUCUCGACAUGGAAAAACCCUACAAUAAAAAUGAAGGAAACCUGGAAAACGAGGGAAAGCCAGAAGAUGAAGUAGAGCCUGAUGAUGAAGGAAAGUCAGACGAGGAAGAAAAGCCAGACGUGGAGGGGAAGACAGAAUGCGAGGGAAAGAGAGAGGAUGAGGGAGAGCCAGGUGAUGAGGGACAACCGGAAGAUGAGGGGAGCCAGGAAAAGCAGGGCAAGUCCGAAGGUGAGGGCAAGCCACAAGGCGAGGGCAAGCCAGCCUCCCAGGCAAAGCCAGAGAGCCAGCCGCGGGCCGCCGAAAAGCGCCCGGCUGAAGAUUAUGUGCCCCGGAAAGCAAAAAGAAAAACGGACAGGGGGACGGACGAUUCCCCCAGGGACUCUCAGGAGGACUUACAGGAAAGGCAUCUGAGCAGUGAGGAGAUGAUGAGAGAAUGUGGAGAUGUGUCAAGGGCUCAGGAAGAGCUAAGGAAAAAACAGAAAAUGGGUGGUUUUCAUUGGAUGCAAAGAGAUGUACAGGAUCCAUUUGCCCCAAGGGGACAACGGGGUGUCAGGGGAGUGAGGGGUGGAGGUAGGGGCCAGAGGGGCUUACACGAUAUCCCAUACCUUUAAUGCCUUUGGCCUUCCAUUCUGACUUCUCUGAUGAGAAUAUUGCUGGCCCUGCUUUCCCUGGUAGGUAUUUGCCAGGCCCAAUGCUUUAACCUUAAGCUGAUACUUUGCUUUAGAUGUCAAUCUCGUUACCAGCAGCCUUUUGACCCAACUACAGUGCUCUAUAUUUUAGUAGAGGAUUUUCACCCAUGUGCAUGGAAAAGAUGUUCAUGGUACAUUGUAAAAAAAUUAAAAAUAAAAAUAAAAAAAAGUUUGCAGAACCGCA